ensembl:rRNA 5S_rRNA 5S ribosomal RNA
UCUAGCAGCUAGCUCUCUGCAACUUUAACAUGAUUGCCAACUGAAACUAUGCAGGGCUGUGCCUGGUCAGUACCUGGAUGGGAGACCACAUGGGAAAGCUAGGUUGCUGCUGGAA